rnacentral:rRNA from 1 species
GACGAGCCACACAAACGUUAUUCGGAAUUACUGGGCUUAAAGGGUACGUAGGCGGCGCGGAAAGUGGGGUGUGAAACGGCCCUCGGCUCAACCCGAGGAAUUGCGCUCCAAACUACCGUGCUCGAGGGAGAUAGAGGUUAGCGGAACUUCGGGUGGAGCGGUGAAAUGCGUUGAUAUCCGAAGGAACACCGGUGGCGAAAGCGGCUAACUGGGUCUUCUCUGACGCUGAUGCACGAAAGCCAGGGUAGCAAACGGG